GACAUGGUGGCACAGUGGUUAAGUGUGCUUGACUUGAGAUAGAAAGGUCCUCAGUUCAAGUCCUAGCCAUGGCU